UGGGGAAUAUUGCACAAUGGGGGAAACCCUGAUGCAGCGACGCCGCGUGAACGAAGAAGGUAUUCGUAUCGUAAAGUUCUGUCCUAUGGGAAGAUAAUGACAGUACCAUAGAAGAAAGCUCCGGCUAAAUACGUGCCAGCAGCCGCGGUAAUACGUAUGGAGCGAGCGUUGUCCGGAAUUAUUGGGCGUAAAGGGUACGCAGGCGGUUUAAUAAGUCGAAUGUUAAAGAUCGGGGCUCAACCCCGCAAAGCAUUGGAAACUGAUAAACUUGAGUAGUGGAGAGGAAAGUGGAAUUCCUAGUGUAGUGGUGAAAUACGUAGAUAUUAGGAGGAAUACCAGUAGCGAAGGCGACUUUCUGGACACAAACUGACGCUGAGGUAUGAAAGCGUGGGGAGCAAACAGG
rnacentral:rRNA from 1 species